rnacentral:rRNA from 1 species
AGUGAACGCUGGCGGUAGGCCUAACUCAUGCAAGUCGAACGGCAGCACAGAGGAGCUUGCUCCUUGGGUGGCGAGUGGCGGACGGGUGAGGAAUACAUCGGAAUCUACUCUGUCGUGGGGGAUAACGUAGGGAAACUUACGCUAAUACCGCAUACGACCUACGGGUGAAAGCAGGGGAUCUUCGGACCUUGCGCGAUUGAAUGAGCCGAUGUCGGAUUAGCUAGUUGGCGGGGUAAAGGCCCACCAAGGCGACGAUCCGUAGCUGGUCUGAGAGGAUGAUCAGCCACACUGGAACUGAGACACGGUCCAGACUCCUACGGGAGGCAGCAGUGGGGAAUAUUGGACAAUGGGCGCAAGCCUGAUUCAGCCAUACCGCGUGGGUGAAGAAGGCCUUUGGGUUGUAAAGCCCUUUUGUUGGGAAAGAAAUCCAUCUGGUUAAUACCCGGGUGGGAUGACGGUACCCAAAGAAUAAGCACCGGCUAACUUCGUGCCAGCCGCCGCAGUAA